rnacentral:rRNA from 1 species
UACGAAGGGGGCUAGCGUUGUUCGGAUUUACUGGGCGUAAAGCGCACGUAGGCGGAUCUUUAAGUCAGAGGUGAAAUCCCAAGGCUCAACCUUGGAACUGCCUUUGAUACUGGGGAUCUUGAGUCCGGGAGAGGUGAGUGGAACUGCGAGUGUAGAGGUGAAAUUCGUAGAUAUUCGGAAGAACACCAGUGGCGAAGGCGGCUCACUGGCCCGGUACUGACGCUGAGGUGCGAAAGCGUGGGGAGCAAACAGG